rnacentral:rRNA from 1 species
CUCGAUGAGUAGGGCGGGACACGUGGUAUCCUGUCUGAAUAUGGGGGGACCAUCCUCCAAGGCUAAAUACUCCUGACUGACCGAUAGUGAACCAGUACCGUGAGGGAAAGGCGAAAAGAACCCCGGCGAGGGGAGUGAAAAAGAACCUGAAACCGUGUACGUACAAGCAGUGGGAGCACCCUUUGGGGUGUGACUGCGUACCUUUUGUAUAAUGGGUCAGCGACUUAUAUUCUGUAGCAAGGUUAACCGAAUAGGGGAGCCGGAGGGAAACCGAGUCUUAAUUGGGCGUUAAGUUGCAGGGUAUAGACCCGAAACCCGGUGAUCUAGCCAUGGGCAGGUUGAAGGUUGGGUAACACUAACUGGAGGACCGAACCGACUAAUGUUGAAAAAUUAGCGGAUGACCUGUGGCUGGGGGUGAAAGGCCAAUCAAACCGGGAGAUAGCUGGUUCUCCCCGAAAGCUAUUUAGGUAGCGCCUCGUGAAUUCAUCUCCGGGGGUAGAGCACUGUUUCGGCUAGGGGGCCAUCCCGGCUUACCAACCCGAUGCAAACUGCGAAUACCGGAGAAUGUUAUCACGGGAGACACACGGCGGGUGCUAACGUCCGUCGUGAAGAGGGAAACAACCCAGACCGCCAGCUAAGGUCCCAAAGUCAUGGUUAAGUGGGAAACGAUGUGGGAAGGCCCAGACAGCCAGGAUGUUGGCUUAGAAGCAGCCAUCAUUUAAAGAAAGCGUAAUAGCUCACUGGUCGAGUCGGCCUGCGCGGAAGAUGUAACGGGGCUAAACCAUGCACCGAAGCUGCGGCAGCGACGCUUAUGCGUUGUUGGGUAGGGGAGCGUUCUGUAAGCCUGUGAAGGUGUGUCGUGAGGCAUGCUGGAGGUAUCAGAAGUGCGAAUGCUGACAUAAGUAACGAUAAAGCGGGUGAAAAGCCCGCUCGCCGGAAGACCAAGGGUUCCUGUCCAACGUUAAUCGGGGCAGGGUGAGUCGACCCCUAAGGCGAGGCCGAAAGGCGUAGUCGAUGGGAAACGGGUUAAUAUUCCCGUACUUGGUGUUACUGCGAAGGGGGGACGGAGAAGGCUAUGUUGGCCGGGCGACGGUUGUCCCGGUUUAAGCGUGUAGGUGUGUGUUCCAGGUAAAUCCGGUUCACUUUAACACUGAGGCGUGAUGACGAGGCACUACGGUGCUGAAGCAACAAAUGCCCUGCUUCCAGGAAAAGCCUCUAAGCAUCAGGUAACAUCAAAUCGUACCCCAAACCGACACAGGUGGUCAGGUAGAGAAUACCAAGGCGCUUGAGAGAACUCGGGUGAAGGAACUAGGCAAAAUGGUGCCGUAACUUCGGGAGAAGGCACGCUGACACGUAGGUGAAGUGAUUUACUCAUGGAGCUGAAGUCAGUCGAAGAUACCAGCUGGCUGCAACUGUUUAUUAAAAACACAGCACUGUGCAAACACGAAAGUGGACGUAUACGGUGUGACGCCUGCCCGGUGCCGGAAGGUUAAUUGAUGGGGUCAGCGCAAGCGAAGCUCCUGAUCGAAGCCCCGGUAAACGGCGGCCGUAACUAUAACGGUCCUAAGGUAGCGAAAUUCCUUGUCGGGUAAGUUCCGACCUGCACGAAUGGCGUAAUGAUGGCCAGGCUGUCUCCACCCGAGACUCAGUGAAAUUGAACUCGCUGUGAAGAUGCAGUGUACCCGCGGCAAGACGGAAAGACCCCGUGAACCUUUACUAUAGCUUGACACUGAACAUUGAGCCUUGAUGUGUAGGAUAGGUGGGAGGCUUUGAAGUGUGGACGCCAGUCUGCAUGGAGCCGACCUUGAAAUACCACCCUUUAAUGUUUGAUGUUCUAACGUGGACCCGUGAUCCGGGUUGCGGACAGUGUCUGGUGGGUAGUUUGACUGGGGCGGUCUCCUCCUAAAGAGUAACGGAGGAGCACGAAGGUUGGCUAAUCCUGGUCGGACAUCAGGAGGUUAGUGCAAUGGCAUAAGCCAGCUUGACUGCGAGCGUGACGGCGCGAGCAGGUGCGAAAGCAGGUCAUAGUGAUCCGGUGGUUCUGAAUGGAAGGGCCAUCGCUCAACGGAUAAAAGGUACUCCGGGGAUAACAGGCUGAUACCGCCCAAGAGUUCAUAUCGACGGCGGUGUUUGGCACCUCGAUGUCGGCUCAUCACAUCCUGGGGCUGAAGUAGGUCCCAAGGGUAUGGCUGUUCGCCAUUUAAAGUGGUACGCGAGCUGGGUUUAGAACGUCGUGAGACAGUUCGGUCCCUAUCUGCCGUGGGCGCUGGAGAACUGAGGGGGGCUGCUCCUAGUACGAGAGGACCGGAGUGGACGCAUCACUGGUGUUCGGGUUGUCAUGCCAAUGGCACUGCCCGGUAGCUAAAUGCGGAAGAGAUAAGUGCUGAAAGCAUCUAAGCACGAAACUUGCCCCGA